GCAAGUCGAACGAACCGAUCAUCAGUAGCAAUACCAAUGUGAGGUAAGUGGCGAACGGGUGAGUAACACGUAGAUAAUCUACCUUUCAGACGGGGACAACCCAGGGAAACUUGGGCUAAUACCCGAUGAGACCACGUCCGGGGACGGAUGUUGCCAAAAGUGGGCUUCGGCUCAUGCUGAGAGAUGAGUUUGCGUCCUAUCAGCUGGUUGGUGGGGUAAUGGCCUACCAAGGCUAAGACGGGUAGGCGGCCUGAGAGGGCGAUC
rnacentral:rRNA from 1 species